GAGGCCUCAGGUCAGGCGGGGCUACCCGCUGAGUUUAAGCAUAUCAAUAAGCGGAGGAAAAG
rnacentral:rRNA from 1 species